AAAGGUAAAAUUGAAUUAUUAUUAUAAUUUCUAGUAUUUUUAUUGAGGCCAAUAAGAUUAAGAUUUAAACUAGGAUUAGAUACCCUAUUAUACUUGAAUGAAAAAAAUUUUAAAUACUUGAUUAUUAAGAGUUAUAUUCUUUAAAUUUAAAGAAUUUGGCGGUAAUUUAGUCUCGUCAGAGGAACCUGUUUAUCAAUCGAUAAUCCACGAAGUAUCUUACUUAAGUUUGUAUACCAUCAUUACUAGAUAAUUUUUAGAGAAUGAAUUAUUAGGUUUAUUUAAUAAUAGAAAAAUUAGAUCAAGGUGCAGCUUAUAUAUAAGUUUAAAUGGGUUACAAUAAAAUUUAUUUAUAUGGAUUUAUGGUAAUGAAAGCGGAUUUGAUUGUAUUAAGGUUUAGUAAGAUUUAAAGAUAUAUGCUCUAAAUUAUGUACAUAUCGCCCGUCGCUUUC
rnacentral:rRNA from 1 species